CCUACGGGAGGCAGCAGCGGGGGAAUCUUCCGCAAUGGGGGCAACCCUGAUCCAGCAAUGCCGCGUGAGUGAUGACGGCCUUCGGGUUGUAAACCCCUUUUCCCCGGGAAGAUAGCGCUUCUACCCGGAAAAGAACCCCAGGAAAAAUCCCCGGCUAACUCCGUGCCAAUACCGACGGUGCUAGCGUUGUCCGAAAUCUGUGCGGAUUUACUGGGCGUAAAGCGCGACUCAGCUGCGAUGCUAGACCCUGGAGCUCACCCCCGGAUCUGCCUUUGAAGCUCGGCCGGUACCAUGCCGCAUAAGGGAGUGAAAUUCUGAGGGAAUGCGUGAAAUUCUGAUAUAUUCCGAAGAACUCCAGUGGAAAACGCGGCUCACUGGACGACUAUUGACCCUGACGCGCCACUGAGGGGGGAACGAACGGGAUUAGAUACCCUGUAAAUCCCCCCCGUAAACGAUGAUAACUAGAUGCCGGGGCGCUUGGCGUUUCGGCGGCGCACCUAACGCAUUAAGUUAUCCGCCUGGGGAGUACGGUCGCAAGAUUAAAACUCAAAGGAAUUGACGGGGGCCUGCACAAGCGGUGGAGCAUGUGGUUUAAUUCGAAGCAUCGCUCAAAACCUUACCAACGUUUGACAUGGUGACUAUGGUUUCCCUACAUGGAUUCCUUCCUUCGGCUGGGUCACACACAGGUGCUGCAUGGCUGUCGUCGUCUCCUGUCGUGAGAUGUUGGGUUAAGUCCCGCACCGAGCGCAACCCUCGUCCCUAUGUGCCAUCAUUUACUUGGGCACUCUAGGGAAACCGCCGGUGAUAAACCGGAGGAUGGUGGGGAGACGCAAGUCCCCACGUCCUUACGACUGGGCUCCACAGUGCUACAUGGUACUAUGUGGUCAGCAGGUCGAGAGAUCCACCUAACUCGAACUCUCUACUUCGGAUUGUUUCGCCACUCCAAACCUGAUGCUCAUCGCCCAAAUCGCGCUCUCCUGCCCCGCGCCAACGGUCCGGGAAGGCAAUACUUCACC
rnacentral:rRNA from 1 species